UACGGAGGGUGCAAGCGUUAUCCGGAUUCACUGGGUUUAAAGGGUGCGUAGGUGGGCAGGUAAGUCAGUGGUGAAAUCUCCGGGCUUAACCCGGAAACUGCCAUUGAUACUAUUUGUCUUGAAUACUGUGGAGGUCAGCGGAAUAUGUCAUGUAGCGGUGAAAUGCUUAGAUAUGACAUAGAACACCAAUUGCGAAGGCAGCUCACUACACAAAGAUUGACACU
rnacentral:rRNA from 1 species